UGUAGCUCAGUAGUAGAGUAUGUGCUUAGCAUGCAUGAGGUCCUGGGUUAAAUUCCUAGCA
rnacentral:tRNA from 1 species